CCUACGGGUGACAGCAGUGAGGAAUAUUGGUCAAUGGACGAGAGUCUGAACCAGCCAAGUAGCGCGAAGGAUGACUGCCCUAUGUGUUGUAAACUUCUUUUAUAUGGGAAUAAAACAGGGUAUGCAUACCCGCUUGUAUGUACCACAUGAAUAAGGAUCGGCAAACUCGGGGCCAGCAGCCGGGGUAAUAGGGGGAUCCGAGGGUUAUCCGGAUUUAUUGGGUUUAAAGGGAGCGUAGGUGGAUUGUUAAGGCAGUUGUGAAAGUUUGCGGCUUAACCGUAAAAUUGCAGUUGAAACUGGCAGUCUUGAGUACAGUAGAGGUGAGCGGAAUUCGUGGUGUAGCGGUGAAAUGCUUAGAUAUCACGAAGAACUCCGAUUGCGAAGGCAGCUCACUGGACUGCAACUGACACUGAUGCUCGAAAGUGUGGGUAUCAAACAGGAUUAGAUACCCUGGUAGUC
rnacentral:rRNA from 1 species